AGUCCUCCACGCAAAAUUAUACCCUGUUAUACUCUUAUCUGUCCUUCCUCCAAAACGCCAUCUUUUGACUGCCCACGGCGACACCAUCUCGCGUUCUGCCCGAUCCCAAAUGGAGUCCGUCGCGGCAUCGGCGGCGAUCCCCUCGUCGCCUUCCCACCUCUCCUUCUUCUCUCCCAAGAAAAUCGCCCCUCGACGCCAAUCCCUAGUCCCGAUCGCCUCCAAGAAUAGGGAAGAUGAGGCGGAUCGUAGUUCCGGAUCGUCGCCGUCUCCCCUCUCCUUCUUCUCACCCAAGAGAAGCACCCCUCGACGCCAAUCCCUUCUCCCGAUCGCCUCCAAAAGUAGGGAAAACGACGCGGAUAACAAUUCCGUGUCCGAAAGCACCAGCCUCGUCCCUUUCCUCGGCAAUCGCGCCCGCGCACCUCUUUCCCCGUUCCCCAAUGAUACGGCAAUGGGCUUGGUUUUGAGCGCGGCGGCUGGAAGAGGGUGGACGACGGGUUCCGGAAUGGAGGGCCCUCGGAUCCCUGCCUACUCCAAUUCCGCCGAUCAGACUGUUCUCACCUUCCCCUGGUCCCUCUACACCAGGUCUCCCCGCCGUCGGAUGCGUGUGGCCUUCACCUGCAACGUCUGCGGUCAGCGGACCACUCGUGCCAUCAACCCCCAUGCAUACACCGACGGCACCGUCUUUGUUCAGUGCUGCGGCUGCAAUGUGUUUCAUAAGCUGGUAGACAAUCUGAAUCUGUUCCACGAGAUGAAAUGUUAUGUGAACCCGAGUUUCCGCUAUAAAGGAGACGUGUCAUUCAAUUACAUGGAUUCAGAUGAUGAUCAGAACAUCUUUCCCAUCUUAUAAGUUGGAAGAAGUGGGAUAUUAUAUCUAUCUGACUAAGUUCUUACCAGCCAAGUAAGCUAGCAUUUUCAGCACAUUCAGUAUAUGUGGGAUGAGGGAUGCCGCGGAGUGCCAUUUCGGUCAGCAUGUUGCUCUCGAUCUUUUUCAUGAAUACGUCAUCCUCAUCCGAUUCAUCCUGCACUUCUCGUUUGGGUGCAUCAUCGUUCGUGAUGCGGAUGCGGAGCAUGAGCUUAUCUGCAUUAUCAUCAUUAAAGAUGCACCUUAAAUCAUCACCGAAUUCGUUAUCGAUCUUCUCUGCGA